rnacentral:lncRNA from 1 species
CUUUCUGAAUUUAAGUUACAUGGGCUACUUCUAUAUCUAAAUACGUUUAAGGACAUAAUAAACAGAAUUAGAUACGUUUUAAUGCAGCUGGCAUAUUUGUUACAAACAAGAAUAUCUGCCUUUGAAAGCACAGUCUGACCUUACACAGUCAGUCAUGAAAAACCAUAUACAAUUUAUUUUUAUGUCAUUGAUUAGUUUGGCAACAGCAUUCUAAAGAUUGUUGUUCUAUAGGUAUAUUAAUUUGUCAGCAUGUGUUUGUUUUGUAUAAACUAGUGUUAUUGUUAGCGGUUUUAUGCCAGAAAAAUUUCAUCUUGUCACUGUUUUGCUAGCAAACUUUGCUUAUUGCCUUGCCACAUUGUUAAUUCUUUUGCUGUUUUCUUAUUCUUGCUACUAAGUUAAAACGACAAAUAUUUUGUCUGUUUAAAUAAUUCUGCUGUUUAAGAUGUCCAAUACCUUUUCCAUACUACUACAGGGUUGGUUAAUGACCUUAAUUACCAAUGAGGGUUUAGGAAUAAUGAGUGGACGCCCUCAUUUAAAAUCUGGGAAACAUGACCUCAUGAUCUCAGUGAUUAGAAAUCACAGCCACAAAUUUUUGUUAGAAACCAUAUAUUCAGUCUGAAACAAACAGAAGAAAUAAAAAUGAAGCUACUGAAUCUUGAAUAACUUAACAUUUGAAAUAUCUAAGUCUUUUACCAUUAGUUCUGUAAACCUUAUCAAUGGAACUAGAUCAUACAUGAUUUAAAAAUUACUUAAUAUAGACAUCUGGAAGUGUCAUAAGUUUCACUGUACUUGGCUAUUGAAUCCAUCAGACAUUCAUAUAAUGCAUUUAUAAGGAUAAAAAUCAAGAGUUAUUUUUUUCUGAUUAAAGGGAGAUAACCCAAUUUGAAAUAUUACCCAUCUCCCAAUGUGAAAUGUAUUUUUUAUUGAUGUUUCUAUUUUCUUAUUCACAGAAGUAACAAUCAGGACAUUAAUUGACCUUUAACUAAUGUAUUCAAUAAUGUUAAUUUGUUUAUAGUUGAGAUAGUAUUAAGAUGAACUCCUGUUGUUUUAAACAUGGAUAUAGUUUCUUGUUGUUGGACAAUGAUAAUUUUGAUAUUUUGUUAAUUUGUAAACCAUUAGCAAUACCAAACGUAUUACAUUGUAUUACUACUCAAUAAUUUUACAGAUUAGUUUUUAUCAAGAUUUUCUCAGAUAUGUAUUGUUCUAUCAAAACCAUUAUCAUGUUUAUGUUUGCUUUUGAAUUGUUCAAGUAUAUUGUUAAAACUUUCUGUUUUAUAAAAAAAGUUAAAAAUUAAACUUGCUAUAAUAUACAAUUUUCCACCAUCCAGUCAAGACUUUUUGUAAAUUGUGUACCUUGAAAAGGGCACGAGCAUUUGAUGCAAGUUGAAAAUAAUAUAUAUUUAUGAUUUUAUUGUGAUUUUUAAGACAAAAAUUAUAGUGUUAUGGAUCAUCAUUCAGCAUUCGUUUUACAACAAUUGUUGUGCUUGUACACUCUAAAUGUUUUUUUUAUUAGUAAAUAAAUGAAAGAACA